GCUCAGAUGGUGGAAUGGUAGACACGUACGCUUGAGGGGCGUAUGCCGCAAGGUGUGGGGGUUCGAGUCCCCCUCUGAGCACCA
rnacentral:tRNA from 2 species